rnacentral:misc_RNA from 1 species
GGGAUUGGGGAUCCUACCUGAUCCGAGGUCACCUUUAAAAAUUGGGGGGUUUAGCGGCUGGAGCACGCCGGGACGAUCCGAACGAGGUUCGCGUUUUACCGCGUUUUACUGCGCUCAGUGUACCGACGAGCCCGCCGAUGAACUUGGGGGCCCCCCCUUUUCCCCUUUUCCGGCCCCCCCACCCCCCCAAGGGGCCCCUCGCCAUCAAUGCCAUCCCCCCCCCCCCCCCUUUCCCCCCCAGGGCCACGUCCCACUCCUCCCCCAUACCCACCCCAUUGCCCCGCCCAACACACCCCCCCUUUCCUGUCCGUUCACCCCUCCCCACCCUUCACCAUCCUCUCCUCGACCCCCCCACAACUCCGGCCUCCCCCUCCCCACACCCGCCUCCACACCCUUUACCCACUUCCCCACCACAGCCGUCCACCCCCUCCUCACACAAAAGAUGCCCACCGAUCACGCACUUCCUACGCAGAACCAACCCACUUCUCCGCCGAAGGGAGGAUCAUUACUGAGUUGAAAAACUCCACCCUGUGAACAAACCUCUGUCGUUGCUUCGGCGGGCACGCCCGCCGGAGGUUCAAAACUCUUAUUUUUUCCAGUAUCUCUGAGCCUGAAAGACAAAUAAUCAAAACUUUCAACAACGGAUCUCUUGGUUCUGGCAUCGAUGAAGAACGCAGCGAAAUGCGAUAAGUAAUGUGAAUUGCAGAAUUCAGUGAAUCAUCGAAUCUUUGAACGCACAUUGCGCCCGCCGGUAUUCCGGCGGGCAUGCCUGUUCGAGCGUCAUUUCAACCCUCAAGCCUCGGCUUGGUGUUGGGGCCCCCAAUACCUCCCCCAUCCCCCACCCCCCGUGCCGGGGGCUCGGGAAAAUCAGUCGCCCCGCGCUCAACGGGCCCCGGUGCGGCACAAGGCGCAUUGCGGCAACCGGAGCGGCUGGUGCCCGGCUGAACGCACCCAACCGUAAGAAUCGGGGCGCCCCGCGGGCAGGAGCGACAGUUAUCAACCCCCGCGUGGAACGUAUCCCCCCCUCUCCAUACACUGCCCAACCUGGGGAAAAAAAAAAACCAAAAAACCUCGAAAUUAAAAAAAAAAAAAACCAACCCCACCCCCCCGGGGGGGGACAA